rnacentral:rRNA from 1 species
GACGAACGCUGGCGGCGUGCCUAAUACAUGCAAGUCGAACGAACCGCGACUAGGUGCUUGCACUUGGUCAAGGUGAGUGGCGAACGGGUGAGUAACACGUGGGUAACCUACCUCAUAGUGGGGGAUAACAGUCGGAAACGACUGCUAAUACCGCAUAGGACAUAGGAUCACAUGAUCCAGUGAGGAAAGGUGGCGCAAGCUAUCGCUAAGAGAUGGACCCGCGGUGCAUUAGCUAGUUGGUAGGGUAAAGGCCUACCAAGGCGAUGAUGCAUAGCCGACCUGAGAGGGUGAUCGGCCACAUUGGGACUGAGACACGGCCCAAACUCCUACGGGAGGCAGCAGUAGGGAAUCUUCCGCAAUGGACGCAAGUCUGACGGAGCAACGCCGCGUGAGUGAAGAAGGUCUUCGGAUUGUAAAGCUCUGUUGUUAGAGAAGAACAGCGCAUAGAGUAACUGUUAUGCGUGUGACGGUAUCUAACCAGAAAGCCACGGCUAACUACGUG